CCUUUAUCCCCUUCACCAGCCCCUCUGUUUGUCUUUUGCCCCCCAUCGCCUCUGUGUUUCUCUUUUUUCCCCCUUCCCCAGAUCCUCUGUGUGUCUUUUUCUCUCCCUCAAGCCUCUUUGUGUGUCUCUUCCACUACACCCCUCAGUAUGUCUCUUUCUUCCCAUCCUCUCUGUGUCUCUUUCUCACCCAAGUCACACUGUGGUCUCUUUCUUCC